AUGGUGUGGGGUGGCCACCGCAAAUGGGGCCAGGCCUUCGCUCCUGUUCCAGCCUCUAGGCUCCAGAUCACAGCGAUGGUGGCUGAUUCUGAGGCCAAUCUGGGGACUCAGACCUACUCUGUCUUCUCCUGCUGUGGGGCGUCCGAGCUCUUGGCUUCCUCCUCUACAAAACUGAGAGCCUUCCCUGACCUUCCCUUCCCCUGGAGGCAGUUGGUCUCUGCCUCUCCCUCAGGCUGUGGUCAGCCCAUGGCUGUCCCCGGGGCAGGGGACAGGCACAGGCCCUCCUGGACCGAGCUCCUCAGGUGCAGGGAUGACGGCUCCCUCGCUUGGAUCCUGGCACGAUGUGGGACGGAUAGAAGGUGCUCAGGUGAUGAUGGAGGGAAAAGGAAAGAGAAGGGAGAGGGACGGGGCAAAGGGAAGUCAUUUUUGUAUUGUUUCCACUUUUAUACAACGUUUAAAAAGGAAGAAAAGGAAUUCAUUACAAAAGGUCUCUGAGUUCUAUGUAGUUUUUUGUUGGUAUGUACUUUAAUUCAUUAGUAAAGUGGAAAAAGAGAAACUCAGGCAUAUUUUACAUUCUAAUGAAACACAAAUAGAUCUGAGGAUUUUAGAAACGGCUCUUUUAUAGUCAAUAUUCAUUUCUCCCCUACAGAAAAAUCAUUUUUCUCCCCUAGAAUGACCUUGGUCCUUACUAUUUCCCAGAAGAUGGGAUUUGAUUGAUCUGGGGGCUGAACAUGGAGUUUCUUUUCUCUUUGUUCAGGUGGAAAGCACACACACAGUCACUCCCUUUCGAAUCAGAAGGCGCUUGACUUCAUUUCUUUGGUCCAAACCCAUCCCUCUCAACGUUCCCUGUGUAUAAAUGCAUUGUUUGUGGACGUCAAAGGGGGCUCCACGUGAGUGCUGGAGAUAUGGGGGUUCAGGAGGCAACAGCCCCUCUUCAUUAGUUAGCAUUUACCAAGACUUGAUAAUCUUUAACUAGUCACACUGAUGAGGUAAUUCCCACAGGCAUUGAUGAGAAUUGUCUGAACAUAGCAGGACAGAGACUGACUUGGUAACCUCGUCCUGUCCCUGGACAGGUGUCUUUAUGAGGCACUUUUUAGAACCAGGGCAGUCUGGUGCAGAGGAAGAAACAGUGACCUGAUUCGUGUUCCAACUCUGUCAUUAACCAGCUGUGUGACCUCGGCUGCAGCCUCAGCUGUACUAUGGCUGGCUUCAAUCAGGGAAAGCAAAUUGAUAGCACAUGUGCCACCACUGAUGCCCUCUGUCACCAGGGCAGACAUUGCUAAUCAAUCCCAGGCCUUUUCCAGGGCCUGGAUGGAGCUCCAUGAUCCCUGUGAUCAACCUCCAGUUGGAGGACCAGACUGCCUUCUGAGCUGCAGCUUGUUUGCCUUGCUGGGGCUGUGUGGUCUCGGUACUGUCCUGUCCAGGGCGAACGUUCAAUAAUUUCAAGCAUUACAGCUAUUUGUUUUGUUGUGGCAACCACCACCAACAGACUCCAUAAAAUUGUGCUAUUCCAUUCCAAGGAUCACAAAGAAUUUCUCUCCUCAAAACACUCCUAAGAAACAGGAAAAUAAGUGUUCCGUUCCAACCGUCCCAGAGGUUGAGGCUGCCUGAAAGAAAGGGGCGGCCUAGAUACUCUAAAACAAGUUCUGAGCUGGGCUGAAAACAAAGGCAGCCCUGCAAACACUUUCUCCCUCCUCCCUCGGCAUUCGGGGCCAGGAGCCAGUCCUUCUGUCCGAAGGGGAAUUCCUAUAGGAGCUAAUGAGAACUUGGCAUUACAAUGAAUAGGUUCCUCUCAUACACUGCUGGUGAGAACGUGAAACGGUGCCACUGCUUUGGAAAACAGUCUGGCAGUUCUUCAAAUUAUUCAACAUAGAGAUACCACAUGACCCAGCAAAGCCGCUCCUAGGUAUAUACCCAAGAGAAACAAAAACAUACGUCCACGUAAAAACUUGUAUAUGAAUGUUCUUAGUAGCAUUGUUCAUAAUAGCUCAAAAGUAGAAAGAACCAAAAUGUCCGCCAACUGUUGGAUGGAUGAGUAAAACGUGCUAUAUCCACAAAAUGGGAUAUUCUUCAGCCUUAAUAAGGAGGGAAGUACUGAUGUACACAUAGAUGAAACUUGAAACCAUUAUACCAAGUGAAAGAAGCCAGUCACAAAAGACCACAAAUUGCAUGAUUUCAUUUAUAUGAAAUGUCCAGAAUAGGCAAAUCUAUAAAGGCAGAAAGUAGAUCAGUGCUUGCCUGAGGGGGCUGUGCAGCUGGGGGUGACGGCUAAGGGCCAUGAGGUUUCUUUUUUGGGUGACAAAAAUGUUCUGAAAUGGAUUGUGGUGUUGGUUGCACAACGCUGUGAAUAUAACAAAAGCCAUUGAACUGUUCACUUUAAAUGAGUGAAUUGCAUGGUAUGUGAAUUAUUUCUCAAGAAAUCUGUUAAAAAACAAAGCAGUUAUAUUAAAUUUUUUAAAAAAAAUAAAAUGAGGGGCUGGCCCCGUGGCCGAGUGGUU
rnacentral:lncRNA from 1 species